AUCCAAGUCUGUGGGAAAAUAGCAUAUAUUUCCCAGAAUGCAUGGAUCCAAACAGGAACUGUGCAAGGCAAUAUUCUCUUUGGAUCACCGAUGGACAGGGAAAGAUACCACAACACACUGGCGAGGUGCUCGUUGGUCAAGGACCUUGAAGUGUUGCCAUAUGGAGAUUGUACUCAAAUUGGAGAGAGAGGAGUUAAUCUUAGUGGUGGUCAGAAGCAGCGCGUCCAGCUUGCUCGUGCACUAUACCAAAAUGCAGACAUCUAUCUUCUUGACGAUCCUUUCAGUGCUGUUGAUGCCCAUACAGCCACAAGUCUAUUCAAUGAAUAUGUCAUGAGUGCUCUAUCGGACAAGACUGUUCUCUUGGUGACGCACCAAGUGGAUUUUCUACCUGUAUUUGACUCCAUUUUGUUAAUGUCAGAUGGAGAGGUUAUUAGGUCUGCACCUUAUCAAGAUCUAUUGGCAGAUUGUGAAGAAUUUAAAGACCUUGUAAAUGCCCAUAAAGAUACAAUUGGUGUUUCCGAUGUUAGUAACAAUAUAACCACUCGAAGAUCUAAGGAAGUAUCAGUGAAGGAGACAGAUGGUAUUCAUACAGAAUCUGUGAAGCCAUCACCGGCAGAUCAACUGAUCCAGAAAGAGGAAAGAGAAACAGGGGAUGCAGGUGUCAAGCCUUAUAUGCUUUACCUGUGCCAGAACAAAGGCCUCCUGUAUUUCUCUCUUUGUAUUAUUUCUCACAUAAUUUUCGUAGCUGGGCAAAUAUCACAGAAUUCAUGGAUGGCUGCUAAUGUCCAAAAUCCUCAUGUUAGUAUGCUGAAGUUAAUUUCUGUGUACAUUAUUAUCGGAGUUUGCACAGUGUUCUUCUUGCUAUCAAGAUCUUUGGCAGUCGUUGUUCUUGGGAUCCAGACAUCACGAUCCUUAUUUUCCCAGCUACUCAAUUCAUUAUUCCGUGCACCAAUGUCCUUUUUUGAUUCUACUCCUCUUGGAAGGGUUCUUAGCCGGGUCUCUUCAGAUUUGAGUAUCGUUGACCUUGAUGUUCCAUUCGCCUUCGUAUUUAGCCUUGGUGCCAGCUUAAACGCAUAUAGCAAUCUAGGGGUACUGGCUGUUGUUACAUGGCAAGUUCUGUUUGUAUCUGUGCCAAUGAUAGUUUUGGCAAUUAGGCUGCAGAGGUACUACCUAGCCUCGGCCAAGGAAUUGAUGCGGAUCAAUGGUACCACCAAGUCUGCUCUAGCGAAUCACUUAGGUGAAUCGAUUGCAGGGGCUAUAACCAUAAGGGCCUUUGAGAAAGAAGAUCGUUUCUUUGCUAAAAAUUUGGACCUUGUUGACAAGAAUGCCAGCCCAUAUUUCUAUAAUUUUGCAUCAACUGAAUGGUUGAUUCAACGUCUGGAGAUAAUGAGCGCCGCAGUUCUUUCUUUUUCUGCCUUUGUCAUGGCCCUUCUUCCUCAAGGAACUUUUAGUCCUGGUUUUGUGGGAAUGGCAUUGUCCUAUGGUCUUUCCCUAAAUAUGUCAUUUGUUUUCUCUAUUCAAAACCAAUGCAACCUGGCGAAUCAAAUAAUCUCGGUGGAACGGGUGAACCAGUACAUGGACAUACAAAGUGAAGCAGCAGAAGUUGUUGAGGAAAAUCGACCAUCACCAGAUUGGCCCCAAGAUGGUAAUGUGGAGCUUAGAGAUUUGAAGAUCAGGUAUAGGAAAGAUGCUCCCCUUGUACUACAUGGAAUCACAUGCAGGUUUGAAGCUGGAAAUAAGAUUGGUAUAGUUGGUCGAACGGGAAGUGGCAAGACAACAUUAAUUGGUGCAUUGUUUCGUCUUGUUGAACCCGCCGAAGGGAAAAUAAUUAUAGACUCUGUGGACAUCAGUACAAUAGGCUUGCAUGACCUGCGUUCGCGUUUGGGUAUCAUUCCACAAGAUCCAACACUUUUUCAGGGUACAGUAAGAUACAAUCUAGAUCCUCUUGGGCAAUUCUCAGAUCAACAAAUAUGGGAGGUUCUUGACAAAUGUCAACUUCUUGAAGCUGUCCAGGAGAAGGAUCACGGAUUGGAUUCACAUGUUGUGGAAGACGGGUCGAACUGGAGUAUGGGUCAAAGACAGCUCUUCUGUCUGGGACGCGCACUUUUGAGAAGAUGCCGUAUCUUAGUUCUUGAUGAAGCAACAGCCUCUAUAGACAAUGCAACAGAUGCUGUCCUUCAGAAAACAAUCCGGACAGAAUUCAAAUAUUGCACUGUUAUUACAGUUGCACACCGUAUACCAACAGUUACGGACUGUGAUAUGGUACUUGCAAUGAGCGAUGGGAGAGUAGUGGAGUAUGACAAACCUACAAAGCUCAUGGAAACUGAAGGAUCUCUCUUCCGCAAACUGGUCAACGAGUACUGGUCAUACACAUCGAACGGAAAUAUUUAG
rnacentral:rRNA from 1 species